rnacentral:rRNA from 1 species
GAACGCUGGCGGCAGGCUUAACACAUGCAAGUCGAACGCCCCGCAAGGGGAGUGGCAGACGGGUGAGUAACGCGUGGGAAUCUACCUGGAACUACGGAACAACUGAGGGAAACUUCAGCUAAUACCGUAUACGCCCUACGGGGGAAAGAUUUAUCGGAAUUAGAUGAGCCCGCGUAAGAUUAGCUAGUUGGUGGGGUAAUGGCUCACCAAGUCGACGAUCCGUAACUGGUCUGAGAGGAUGAUCAGUCACACUGGAACUGAGACACGGUCCAGACUCCUACGGGAGGCAGCAGUGGGGAAUAUUGGACAAUGGGCGCAAGCCUGAUCCAGCCAUGCCGCGUGAGUGAUGAAGGCCUUAGGGUUGUAAAGCUCUUUUACCCGGGAUGAUAAUGACAGUACCGGGAGAAUAAGCCCCGGCUAACUCCGUGCCAGCAGCCGCGGUAAUACGAAGGGGGCUAGCGUUGUUCGGAAUUACUGGGCGUAAAGCGCACGUAGGCGGAUAUUUAAGUCA